UGAGAGUCUUUUCUUUUCAUUUUUUUGGGUUUUGCUCUGAAAUUGUUUUCCUCGAGCCAAGCCUUUCCUCAAGCUUUCUUUUCUUUGUGCUGGUUUUUUGUUGUCAUUGAUGUCUACACCAGUAUUAUUAAAGGGUUAGUAAUCUUGUGAGUAUAUUUUCUACCAUAGAUUUAUGAUGUACAACUUUCACACUUCUACAAGUUUGAGGUUUUAAGGUAGACAUCAAUGGAUUUCUGUAUACACCCAACAACCAUAAAAGAGAUAGUGAAGUUCCUAGAAACGAAGUGAAACUUUUUAGUGUAUGAAAGAAAGAGAUUAUCUUGAGAUAUAUGGGAAGAUUUGUUGUCAUGGAAACCAGAAAAAAGACUUAUUGUAAAGUCAGAGUUGCGAAACCUAAAAGUAAGAAAAACAUUCUUUUAUUGAAAAGUAGUUAAGAAGACACACAAAGAAAGCAAAACAAAUAUAAAAUAAGAACUUGUUAGUUGUGAUGAUGACAAGAAACAAAGAGUCCAGAAGAAAAAACAUAAUUAAUACAUCAUAUGAUCCUAAUAAUGCAGCUAAUAACAAAUCAUGAAAUAAUCAAGAAUCCAAUGAAAUCUUUGUGAGACCCGAAAUUUGUGUACACUAGACAAAGAGUGACUAGUCUUUGGCCUUUAGAAUGAAUCUAUAUGCACUACCUAAAUAUACAUAAAUAGAAUGUACAAACAACCAUGUGCGUAUGAUGCACAAAAGGUGGGACAAGAGUCAAGACUUAUAAGACUAAGACACAAAUUUAAAAGGACUUCACAUAAUUCUAAUGGACUUGACUCCAACUCUACACAUCUUGAGAUGACAAACAUCAAAACUGUUUCAUGAGCUUUCACAGAGAACGAAGUUUCAGUGUUUCAAAUAUUUAAGAAAACACAUGAUUGUGAACAGGUUUAUGAAUACUAGCAGGCAAAGAUAUUAUGGCCAACCUGAAUUUACCAUUGUGCUCUAUCACUAAAGGGCAACAUAGAAGCCAAAAUAACUCAUAGAUUGAUAAAGAAAUAUAAAUAUUUGACACAGUUACACUCAACACCAAACGUUGGACAAUACCAAAUGUUGGCAUAUGAAUCUGAAUAUACAGAUUAUCAAACUCCUCACCUAGAAUCAAAGUAGAAGUAUGUACACUUUCUUCCCAGUAAACAUAUAAGGCACAAGACAGAUCAUCAUGUUUGUUUUCAGAUACAAAAUUGGCCACAAGCAACCAAAAAAGGAAUGAAAACACACCUUAAUGAAUAAAACAAAGAAGAAACACCAAGGCAGACAAUAACACAUGUGGAAUAAAAAUCUAAUGAACCCAAACCUCAUUGAUUAGCUCUUGGGUCCAUUUUUCAUCUACUUGUAUGUAUACCACAAUUCUGACCCCAUCAAUACUCUUCAAUCUCAGUCACACUUUCCUGAAACACACAGCAAGAAAAAAACGAUAUUGAUGGAUCAGUAUCAGGUUGCUACCAAAUUACAUCCACAUGUCAGCAGAUUAAUAGAAUUAAUCAAUGCAAGUGAAAACGUAUCCUUUAUGAUGCACUGUUUUCUCCUACAACGCAAUGACCAUAAGAAAAAAGACAUCUUUUCAUUGCAAUGAGAAAUUUUACAGUGUUCUCUUAUUUUGCAAUUGACACCAUUGCUAAACGAUACGAAUAUUUAAAGCUAAAGUUAAGUAAAGCAUUUUUCAUUUGCUCGGAGAUUCAAGCAUUUUGAUAAUCCGAUUAAUUCUACGGCAAACACUUAAAAAGCUGAACCAACAAUCAACUUGAAUUCGCAAUGAUUGGCACAGUAAAAUUUCAAUGAAAUUAAGAAAUACAUUGGACUUGUGAACAGAAACCAGGCAUUAUUAAAGAAACGCCCACCUUCAAUACACGUAGAAGACGGAGCAGUACCGGAAUUUCGCCGGCGCUGACGUGAGGACUCCGAGUUUUUCGAACAUGACCAAGUUAACGAAAAUGUAAUCUACA
rnacentral:lncRNA from 1 species